AAACCCCUGUUGUAACCCCCUUAUUGCAGCGUACAAGUAUUAAUACGCUUCAACAACCAGUCGGUCAACGCGGGUCAAACCUUUUAAAGGGUUAUCGCAGCGUACAUUUUUAUUGUUCGCUGCGAAAUAGUUUAUUGCAGCGUACAAAAUUAAAGCCCGCAGCAAUAUACAGACUCUGUUGCAGCGUACAUGCUAUUGUACCCUGCAACAGGUCCUGAUCCGUGUUAGCUCAUUUCUCAAAAUUUGCUGCGGGCUCCUUGUUUCAAAAUACUGCAAUUCAAAAUACUCCAAAAUAUCUCAAAAUUUUAGAACUCAUUUCCUCGCGCUCAACUCCAACUCUCCAAACAUCUCCCAAUUUUUUGCCGUUGCCGUCGAACUCCAACCCUUGUUCGGCCCUGCGUCGCCGUCGAAAUCCGCCCUUGCUCGGCCCUGCGUCGCUGUCCUCUCCGGUGGAUGUCUAUUCUCGCCUCAUCUCCCCCGUCGCUGUCCUCUCCGAUGGGUGGCUUUUCAAUUGCUGAAAACUCGGUCAGCUUGGUCGGCUGGGGGUUCAGCGUCCCCCCGUCGCGUCCUGGUUCCGGUGCUUGCUCGGCCGUUACUCUCCUCGCCACAACCAGUAAGUAAUUAUCUUCCUAGCUGUAUUUUCGUUUUCAGAUUAGGGUUUUGUUCAAUUUAUAUUUUUUUUUUGAUUUUUUUUUGGCUGUUGUUCAAUUAGGCUAAUCAUGUGAACUAAAACAAAUGUUGAACUAUUUUGAUAAGGUUUACAAAGCCAGCAGUGGCCUCAAGAUUGCUGUUGAACUUUGUGGUGAGCUAAAACUGAUUAAUUGUGCAUAAUAAUUUCUAGUAGCAGUAAUUGAACUAUUUUGGUCGCUGAUCUCAAAAGAGGUUAAGGCUAAUCACCCAAAGAUUAUCAGCUUGCUGGGGUUGUUGCGGUUGAAGUCACAGGAGGGCCAACCAUCGACUUUGUUCCAGGAAGAAUGGAUUGCGCAGAUUCUCCUGAUGAAGGACGCCUUCCUGAUGCAAAUCAAGGUGCCGGACAUUUGAGAGAAAUCUUUUACAGAAUGGGGCUUUCUGACAAGGAUAUUGUCGUGCUUUCAGGAGGCCACACUCUGGUAUAUUUAUCACCAUUUGAUGGGACAUGAAGUCGAGAUGCAGGUGGUUUGAAAUACUUUGCCUCGUCGAUUUGGCGCUCCAGGUCUUCCAGAGUUGAAUGCAUCUCAGCUACAAUAAUCGGGCAAUUAUGGAGGCUGCUCAAGUACUGCUUUAUUUCGGAGUUGAACAAAUCAUCUAUGUUUCUGAAAUGACGCACUGCUAAAUAAAGGUCUAUUCUCCGAAGACUGCGCCUUAUGCUAGUGAGGAAAAUGAUGUGGUUCGUGAGCAAUGGGCUAAGUUUUAUACCAGCAUGUAUUUAUUAUUGAUCUGAGGGCGCUUGAACGAGUUGGUUUAGAUGUUAUAGAACAAUUUUUUAUGUUGAAAUGUAUGCUUACGUUGAAAUUGGAACGUACAUAUAUUUAUUUAAAUGUAUAUAUAUGGUACGUGCACUUUGGUUUUGGGAUAUAUAUACAAAACACAAGUUAUUGUUUUUAUA